CUGGCCCAAUGUGCAGCGACUCGUUACGUUAUGUGCCUUGGUCUGUAGACUGCCGCCUACUUCAUACCGCACUCUCCCUCCUGCACACCCCCACCGUCAGUCACAAAGAACAAACGCAACCCGUUGGCUUUGUUACUGUUCUUGCUUCUUCCGCCAAAAGUGAGCAAACCCCAGACCCGAGGCGAAGAAAGAAAGCAGCAAGAAAUCUUUCUACUGCCGCGAGCGCAAAAGCGUGUGAUUGCUCCUGAAAACCCAAACAGGUGGGCCAAACACACAAAUGCACAUACACAGCUGUGCUCAAGCACACAUACGUCACCGGUACCGUGUCGUCUCCCUCUCUCUAUCACUCUUCUCUUUCUCUCUCUCUUCUCUUUGUGCUCGUACGUGUAUGUGCCAAGAUUAACUGUGUAUGGGUCUUCGACUUCUACAACCUCUCCAAUACCCUACCUACGUUAUAUGAAACCCCAAGCGCCCUACAUUUUUGAAAGUAACCAAAUUAUGCCUAUAUGUAUAGGUAUACCUAUAUCUGUAAUUCUUAGAUAACCUAUUCAGAUUGAAACAAAUACAAAUACUAUUUAUUUAUACUUGUAGAAGGACUAGAUAUGACUAGAUAUCAUUGUUACGAAGCCCAUCUAUAAGUCGAGUCGGCCGCAUAGGGUUCGCUUUUCCUUCAGUGGAAGUAUCUGCCAAAUGCACACCGAUAUCUUGCUGCCGGUGCUGUCGAUGAUAAGCGCAAAUAGACAAAACAAACACAAAACUUGCUAACAAUUAUAAAUGAUUAGAUCGCUUUUUGGAGCAUUCACUUUGGACGGUUCUUUAACAGUAUCUUUUUGUAUUGUACAAAUGUAUAUGUACACACAUAUGUACAUACAUAUAUCAUCCGUCGCAAGUUUACAGACGACUUUAGAUUUUAUAUACAUUUGAACUUGCAUAGACCAGUACCAGCUCAUACUCUGUCUGCGCUCUCUCGCCCACGGACGUCAGUGAUAUAAAAAGCCUAUCUAAUCUGGCAGCCGGAGCACAAGACCUUGCGAAUUGCACUAAACUGCUCACAGUGUGGUGUUACACCAAAGUUCAGAACAGACCCAAGCGGUUCCAAAGGUCGAGAAGUUGCAGGGGCAAUCGAAUAGGAGGCUAUCAAUGUCCUGAAAUACCCGUAAUAUGAUGUUUAUAAUUCACCCACAGCCAAGGGUUUGCUUUUAUUUACAGAGGCAACUUUGUAAUUUACAAAAAUGGUAACGAAUAAAUCAAAUAUGUGGAAGCAUAUAUGUAUAUGUAUAACCUACUUGAAUAUUACAUCUAUGAAGGGACAUGGGAGGGGAGGGAGUUUUAUUUGUGUUGCUAACAAAAAGCUUGGCCAAAUAUUUCAACAUACACUUCAUUUUCUGAAGACUUGACUUCUACAAUAAAUUUUGCUGGCUGGUUCUCAGCUAGUCAAUAGCGUGCUCCUGCAGGUGCGAGAGAUGAAACAAUCUACGUAAAAAG